rnacentral:rRNA from 1 species
CCUAACACAUGCAAGUCGAACGAGGGCUCCCCUUCGGGGAUGUCCCUAGUGGCGCACGGGUGAGUAACGCGUGGGAAUCUGUCCAGGUGUGGGGGAAUAACUACGGGGAAACUGUAGCUAAUACCGCAUACGCCCUACGGGGGGAAAGGCUUCGGCCGCAUUUGGAUGAGCCCGCGUCAGAUUAGCUAGUUGGUGGGGUAAUGGCCUACCAAGGCUACGAUCUGUAACUGGUCUGAGAGGACGAUCAGCCACACUGGAACUGAGACACGGUCCAGACUCC